GCCCAGCCGCCACUGGUACUCGGCAGUUGGGUGCGCCGACGCCGAGCAGCUCACCUCGCGCGGCGGCACGUCGCCUUCGGAGAGGUCGAGCUGCACCACGGACACCUGCGGCUUCUCUGGAGGGUCUGCGAAUCGACACAAGAACUCGGCUUGGUGGUCGUAAAGGCUGGCCACGAACACCAGUGUGCUAGCAGUGCGGUACGUGCCGUCGCUCAUGAGGUCCUCGGCGGCCGGGGGCUGUGGGCGCACCAGCUCGGACCGGUUGUACCACGUGAUGUUUGCUGCUGGCCUGGCGCCCUCCACGAUGCACUUGGCUUCUGUCAGAGUUAAGAAUCAGCGACGGCUACCGCAACUGCUGUGCUCCCUUUAGCCGCAAGAAAAAGACGAAUCCGAGCCGCCUAUAUGUGCCUGUUCGUGCUUCCCUGCAAACCGCUGGGCGCAGCGGUUCCUGUUGACCGUGUCCCGUGGCCGUUGUGGCGGAACUCGGGUGUCCCGACUAAUGGCAAGAUGGAUGAUUACGAAGACGUAUGAAGCGGAAGAGCGUGCUUUGUGAUUGUGGCAUCGGAGCCGCCGAGUAAAAAAACCCCAAGACAAAACGUGGACGAGGAAGAGAGGAAGAGGAAGUGUGAGGAAAGUGGAACAGGGCUUUUCUAGGUGCAGCGCCGGUCAGGAAAUGUACUUCGCCCUCCCUUUUUCUGCGGCCUGAAGAAAGGCGUCCCAAAUGAGCGAUGGGAAAGAUCGGCCAGAGGCGGAAAUGGAGGCGCUCCGGGCAUGCUCAAGUUCGGACGCCUUCCAGAGUUGCGCCUUCCGGUCGUCCUCGCUGCGGAGGGCAAUGAUGGAGAGAGAGCGAAUAAAAUAGAUUUCUAU